rnacentral:rRNA from 1 species
UACGAAGGGGGCUAGCGUUGCUCGGAAUCACUGGGCGUAAAGCGCACGUAGGCGGCUUUUUAAGUCAGGGGUGAAAUCCUGGAGCUCAACUCCAGAACUGCCUUUGAUACUGAGAAGCUUGCGUCCGGGAGAGGUGAGUGGAACUGCGAGUGUAGAGGUGAAAUUCGUAGAUAUUCGCAAGAACACCAGUGGCGAAGGCGGCUCACUGGCCCGGUACUGACGCUGAGGUGCGAAAGCGUGGGGAGCAAACAGG